AUUGAACGCUGGCGGAAUGCUUCACACAUGCAAGUCGAACGGCAGCAUAGGUGCUUGCACCUGAUGGCGAGUGGCGAACGGGUGAGUAAUACAUCGGAACGUGCCCAGUCGUGGGGGAUAACGUAGCGAAAGUUACGCUAAUACCGCAUACGAUCUAAGGAUGAAAGCGGGGGACCGUAAGGCCUCGCGCGAUUGGAGCGGCCGAUGUCAGAUUAGGUAGUUGGUGAGGUAAAGGCUCACCAAGCCGACGAUCUGUAGCUGGUCUGAGAGGGCGACCAGCCACACUGGGACUGAGACACGGCCCAGACUCCUACGGGAGGCAGCAGUGGGGAAUUUUGGACAAUGGACGCAAGUCUGAUCCAGCCAUUCCGCGUGCAGGACGAAGGCCUUCGGGUUGUAAACUGCUUUUGUACGGAACGAAAAAGCUCUUACUAAUACUAGGAGUCCAUGACGGUACCGUAAGAAUAAGCACCGGCUAACUACGUGCCAGCAGCCGCCGUAA
rnacentral:rRNA from 1 species